rnacentral:rRNA from 1 species
GAUGAACGCUGGCGGCGUGCCUAAUACAUGCAAGUCGAGCGAACAGACGAGGAGCUUGCUCCUCUGACGUUAGCGGCGGACGGGUGAGUAACACGUGGAUAACCUACCUAUAAGACUGGGAUAACUUCGGGAAACCGGAGCUAAUACCGGAUAAUGUAUUGAACCGCAUGGUUCAAUAGUGAAAGACGGUUUUGCUGUCACUUAUAGAUGGAUCCGCGCCGCAUUAGCUAGUUGGUAAGGUAACGGCUUACCAAGGCAACGAUGCGUAGCCGACCUGAGAGGGUGAUCGGCCACACUGGAACUGAGACACGGUCCAGACUCCUACGGGAGGCAGCAGUAGGGAAUCUUCCGCAAUGGGCGAAAGCCUGACGGAGCAACGCCGCGUGAGUGAUGGAGGUCUUCGGAUCGUAAAACUCUGUUAUUAGGGAAGAACAAAUGUGUAAGUAACUAUGCACGUCUUGACGGUACCUAAUCAGAAAGCCACGGCUAACUACGUG